CGCGACCUCGUGCAGCACCCGCUGCUCCGUUGGGCUAGAGGCUUGUCCUGGGUUCGGGGCUUUGCCCCCUGGAUGCAGCAGACGCAGACAAGAGGUCUUGACCCUGCCCACUGCCCGCCGCGGUCUGAGCGCCUCUUCCUCUUCCGAAGAAGUGGCGUCACAUUCGCCGGUUCCCGCUCCACAGGACUCUUGGUUUUCUACACCCAGAGCCCCGUGCAUGAAGCCAGUGGUCAGCCAUGCUGCAGAAGUUGUGGUCCCAGGGCCAGAGCCAGAACCUGUUCUUUCAGGAGUCAGUCACCUUCGAGGAUGUGGCUGUGGCUUUCACCCGGACUCAGUGGGCCAGCCUGGACGCCUCGCAGAAGACUCUGUACCGGGAGGUGAUGCUGGAGAAUUAUAUGAACGUAGCUUCCUUAGCCACGCAUCCGCAUCCGUUCCCCAAACCAGAUCUGAUCUUGCGGCUGGAGCGAGGGGAAGCACCCUGGGACCCGGACCCCUGUGCCCCUGACUGGGAGGAGGUCCCAAGAGCUGUCAGCUCAGGUGGUAAAGGCAAGACUGAGCAUGGGGAGCAAACCCCUUCUGACGAGUCAGAGCCCCGUGGCCUGAUGUCUGAGGAGCCGCUAAGGGGUGCUUUCCUGAGCCCUCACUCUCAGGUCACCUCAGAGAAGCCUCGGCUGUCUGACCUGGGGAAGAAGACAACCUCCGGCAGAGGCAGCUUCACAAACCCAGUCUGGGCUCAUCAACCUGCCACUGGUAGAAGGGUGGAGAAAGCCCAGAAACCAGAAGGUAGUGGUGGUGUCAGAAAGGGCCUUACUUCAAAGCAGGGCCUCUCCAAAGAGCAAGACUUUUAUAAAUGUGCUGAGUGUGGCAGGUGCUUCCACCAGCGUUCAGACCUUCACCGGCAUCAGAAAAUCCACGCCGAGCAGAAGCCGUACAAAUGCGAGGAAUGUGGUAAAGCCUUCAAAUACAACUCCAAACUGUCACGGCACCAGAAAAUCCACACCAGGGAGAAACUGUACUUGUGUCAGGAGUGUGGGCAAACGUUUAGCCAAAACUCUCACCUCCGGCAGCACCAGAAAGUCCACGGUGGAGAGGAGCCCUACAAAUGCAAGGACUGUGGGAAAACUUUCCCCUACAACUCAAAACUUAUUUUGCACCAGCGGAUCCACACUGGCGAGAAGCCUUACGAAUGUAAGGAGUGUGGCAAAAGUUUCCGUUUGAAUUCCGUCCUGAUACGCCACCAGAGAAUUCACAUGGGGGACACGUCUUACGAAUGUAAAGAGUGCGGGAAGAUCUUCCACGGGAGCUGGGCGUUUAUUCAGCACGGGAGGUUCCACAGUGGGGCAAAACUCUACAAAUGUAACGACUGCUGGAAGACCUUCAGCUGUAGCUCCCACUUUACAGUCCACCAGAGAAUUCACACUGGGGAGAAACCUUUUGCGUGCCAGGAGUGUGGAAAGGCCUUCAACCAGAAAAUCACCCUGAUUCAGCAUCAGCGAGUUCAUACGGGGGAGAAACCGUAUGAAUGUAAAGUGUGUGGGAAAGCCUUCAAGUGGAACGCAAGUUUCAUUCAGCACCAGAAAUUACAUACAAGGAAGAAAGCCCCUGACGUUGUAGGGCCUCCUCCCGGCAAAUCCACUUGUCCCUCUUCGGCCCCCUUGUCUCAGGCUGCCCAGUAUGCAUCCUGUGCCCCAGCCCUGCCCGGGUCUCAGCCAUCUGCUUACCACGCGGUGCUACUUCCUCUCUCCCUACCACUCUUCCUGUUGCUCCCCAUAUCUGGAAGGGUCAGUUCUCUUGUCCAAAUAUAGCACUUUUCUCCCCGAGCCGUGCUUCUGAGACGUCAUCCCCUCAUGGCCUGGGCCCUUAUGUCCCUCUGAGCUCCUACUCACACCCACUCCGCAGAAUACCAGUUUUCACUGGCUCCUGAUCAUUUCACUGUGACCCUUCUGGUCUUGUGGAAGUCAUUGCUAUAUUCCAGCUUCCUGAUCAGUUCUCACCCUUUAGAACUGUGCUUGAUUGCUCUCUUCUGCCCUUGGGUGAAAAGUGGGAGUGUCUACCCAUUCUGGGCCAACACUGUUAAUCUGCACCCGCCUUGUCCAUUAGCCUUUGGAAGAGUUUGCAGAAGGAUUUGGGUUUGCAGCAAGGAGGUAUUCAGAGAAAGUAGUGAUGCUUUCAGGACUUCUAAAGGCCCCUCAAUGCCAGUGGCAAGGCUCACUGGGGAAUCUGAACCCUAAUAAGGAUCCUGCUUAACCAAACCGCUGACCAGGGAAAUCAUCGCUGAAAUAAAUAUGAGGUGAUGAGUUGGCAUUGAUAGCAAUAUUGUAAAACUUUUAAAAUUUCAUUACAGGGUCAUACGUCUUUUCUGUUUGGAAAUGUUUUCUAUACCUGCCCAUUUGUUUACUUUCAGUACUCAAUUAAAUACGUAUUAAAAGGUGCCUGGGUAUAGUAAUCUUCCAGAUGUUGGUGUCACCUGGGGAGCACCAGAUGACAGAAAAACCCUAUUCUAAUUUGCAAAACUCCUCCUUCAGUGGAUUUCAUUCCUUAUCAGUUACCAUUCAUAUACACUCAAUACAUUUUCCAUCCCCUUCCCUGAUUUCUAUGACUAUUCCAUACCUCCUCGAUUAAAUAUGAAUUUAUGAGGGGUGGUAAAUUCUAGAUUAAUUUUAUAAUGAGCUACUAUAUUAAAACCAAAGCGUUUGAGGAUGCUGAUCUUGCCAGAUGUUAACUUACUUUUUUUUUAGUAAUGGACCACACCCAGUCUCGGAAUAUUUCUGGCUCUUAGCUUAGAGGUGAUCCCUUAUGAGGUUCACAGGGGACCACAUGGCUCCAUGAUUUGAGUCAGUGUCAGCAGCAUCCAUGGAAAGCAUCUUAACCUCUGGCCCCUACGUGACAUCACUGUUUUGACUAUAUUUUGUCAAAUAGUUGGAGAACCUGAAUCUGUUUAGUGUUACUGCUUCAAUACAGCUUAGCAAGGUGGGAAGAUACUUUAUUUGGGAAUCCAGCAAGAAAAUGACAUGUACUUUGUUACUUCCUAAAAGUAUGUGCACAAGGUUUACAGAUUUCUUACUAUAUUAGAAAGAUCCCCCACCCCCUCAUGGUUGGAGUUUCACAGGCUAGAUCAUUUAUGUCUCCGAUCAAUCCCUGCCUCAGUACCAUUAUUAUCUCCACUUUAUAUGUGGGUUUUAAAUAGUGUUAUAUGUGAGCUGUUGAGAUACUGAGCUAUCACCUGGUCCCAAAUUUUUAGUUGCUUUUCUUUUUCUUUUUGGGUUGCACCCAGAGAUGCUCAGGGGUUACUCCUGGCUCUGCACUCAGGAAUUACUCCUUGCGGUGCUCGGGGGACCAUAUGGGAUGCCGGGGAUUGAACCUGGGUCAUCUGUGUGCGAGGCAAACGUCCUACCUGCUGUGCUGUUGCUCCAGCCCAAAAUUUUUAGUUUUUUAUUAGGUAUAAUGGGCAUGAAACAGUUUCAGAUUAGCAACACGAUUCCAUACUUGUGUAGCAUGUUAACCACAGUGCGUCUGGCUAACAUCCAUCCCCAUACGUCAUUAGACUUUUUCUUGUGAUGAAGGCUUUUUCUUUUGAGCCGACUGCCUCACUCAUGCAAGGUUUGGUAUCUUCCACUAAGGUACAUAGCUGGUCCUUUGAGAUGAGAAUGUCUAUGGGUUACUUUUUUUUUUUUUUUUUAAUUUUGCUGUUUUGGAGUCACACCCAACAAUACACAGGACUUCUGGCUGUGUAGUCCAGGAUCACACCUGGUGGGACUAAAUCAGGUGCCAAGAAUUAAAUCUGGGUUGGUAGCCCCUAAGUUUUCUUAAGCAACUUUUAAUGAUGCACAUUGUAUUAUUCACUAUUGGCGUUCUGUUUGAUGAACAUCACAUCCUUGUGGUUUUGGUCAAGUUUAUUGAGAUAACUUUAUAGAUAGUAAAGAUUCACCCUCCCAUCUAUUUAUUUGGUUUUCACAUUUCAGUGUGUAAUAAAUGUUUUU